rnacentral:rRNA from 1 species
CCUACGGGAGGCAGCAGUGAGGAAUAUUGGUCAAUGGACGAGAGUCUGAACCAGCCAAGUAGCGUGAAGGAUGACUGCCCUAUGGGUUGUAAACUUCUUUUAUAUGGGAAUAAAAUGUUCCACGUUUGGGAUUUUGUAUGUACCAUAUGAAUAAGGAUCGGCUAACUCCGUGCCAGCAGCCGCGGUAAUACGGAGGAUCCGAGCGUUAUCCGGAUUUAUUGGGUUUAAAGGGAGCGUAGGUGGAUUGUUAAGUCAGUUGUGAAAGUUUGCGGCUCAACCGUAAAAUUGCAGUUGAAACUGGCAGUCUUGAGUACAGUAGAGGUGGGCGGAAUUCGUGGUGUAGCGGUGAAAUGCUUAGAUAUCACGAAGAACUCCGAUUGCGAAGGCAGUUCACUGGACUGCAACUGACACCGAGGCUCGAAAGUGUGGGUAUCAAACAGGAGUAGAUACCCGGGUAGUC